rnacentral:rRNA from 1 species
CGUCGAGUGGCGGACGGGUGAGUAAUACUUAGGAAUCUGCCCAUUAGUGGGGGACAACUCGGGGAAACUCGAGCUAAUACCGCAUACGCCCUACGGGGGAAAGCGGAGGACCUUUCGGGGCUUCGCGCUAAUGGAUGAGCCUAAGUCGGAUUAGCUUGUUGGUGAGGUAAAGGCUCACCAAGGCGGCGAUCCGUAGCUGGUCUGAGAGGACGAUCAGCCACACUGGGACUGAGACACGGCCCAG